rnacentral:rRNA from 1 species
UACGUAGGCAGCAAGCGUUGUUCGGAGUUACUGGGCGUAAAGGGUGUGUAGGCGGUUGCUUAAGUUUGUUGUGAAAUCUCCCGGCUUAACCGGGAGGGUGCGGCGAAUACUGAGAUGCUGGAGUGCGGGAGAGGUAAGCGGAAUUCCUGGUGUAGCGGUGAAAUGCGUAGAUAUCGGGAGGAACACCUGCGGUGUAGACGGCUUACUGGACCGUAACUGACGCUGAGGCACGAAAGCGUGGGUAGCAAACAGG